AUGAACUCCAAGAUUAUCGAUCGAAUUAGGAAGAGGAGAAGCGAGGAUGAUGAAGAUAUGAUGUCCUUUAUUCUGUCCGUAUUGCAUCGAAUGCGUAGUAGAGGGCCAAUCGAGAGAACUCAGCGUCAUAGCUCCAUCUUAUAUGGCAAGAAGCGGGUUGAUGAUAUCCUUACAGGCCAUGUGAAGAAUUGCCUAGUAGCUUAUAGGAUGGAGCCACGUAUCUUUCGGGCUUUGGCAUCUUACCUUAGAAGAGAAAAUCUGAUAUCGGAUAAAAGAAUUAAGUCGUGGCCAGAAAUUGCUAAGUUCCAGAAUAAGCCCUUUCCCCUCUACGAUAAGCUUGGUGAUCUGUAUGAUGGGCAUAUAGCAGAAGGUAACUUCAAUUUCACAUCAACUGAGGUUACAGAAGUGAGUGAUGGUGAUCUCGAAGUUGAAAGAGAGAAGACUGCCUUCUCUUUUGACCUGAAUCAAUACGGUGAUGAUUUACACAUGUAUGAUGAUCCAAGAGAUGCCGCCCCAAGUGAUGGUCCAAGUAUGCUGCCCCAAGUGAUGGUUCAAGUGAUGCUGCCCCAAGUGAUGGUCCAAGAGGUGCUGCCCCAAGUGAUGGUUCAAGAGAUGCUACACAAAGAGGUGGUGCUGCUACUUCAAGCAACAAGCAUGUGA
rnacentral:rRNA from 1 species